AUUGAACGCUGGCGGCAGGCCUAACACAUGCAAGUCGAGCGGAUGAGUGGAGCUUGCUCCACGAUUCAGCGGCGGACGGGUGAGUAAUGCCUAGGAAUCUGCCUGGUAGUGGGGGACAACGUUUCGAAAGGAACGCUAAUACCGCAUACGUCCUACGGGAGAAAGUGGGGGAUCUUCGGACCUCACGCUAUCAGAUGAGCCCAGGUCGGAUUAGCUAGUUGGUGAGGUAAAGGCUCACCAAGGCGACGAUCCGUAACUGGUCUGAGAGGAUGAUCAGUCACACUGGAACUGAGACACGGUCCAGACUCCUACGGGAGGCAGCAGUGGGGAAUAUUGGACAAUGGGCGAAAGCCUGAUCCAGCCAUGCCGCGUGUGUGAAGAAGGUCUUCGGAUUGUAAAGCACUUUAAGUUGGGAGGAAGGGCAGUAAGUUAAUACCUUGCUGUUUUGACGUUACCAACAGAAUAAGCACCGGCUAACUUCGUGCCAGCAGCCGCCGUAACAC
rnacentral:rRNA from 1 species